GCGGACGUGGUGCAUGGUGCACCGCUGUAUUGCAUGAGACGGGGCAGAACUUUGAAGCAGCUGUUGGGGUUCGACUCCCCGUGUCCGCA